UACGAAGGGGGCUAGCGUUGUUCGGAAUCACUGGGCGUAAAGGGCGCGUAGGCGGCUUGAUAAGUCGGGGGUGAAAGCCUGUGGCUCAACCACAGAAUUGCCUUCGAUACUGUCGAGCUUGAGACCGGAAGAGGUAAGUGGAACUGCGAGUGUAGAGGUGAAAUUCGUAGAUAUUCGCAAGAACACCAGUGGCGAAGGCGGCUUACUGGUCCGGCUCUGACGCUGAGGCGCGGAAAGCGUGGGGGAGCAAACAGG
rnacentral:rRNA from 1 species